UACGUAGGGGGCGAGCGUUGUCCGGAUUUAUUGGGCGUAAAGAGCGUGUAGGCGGCCAGGUAGGUCUGCUGUGAAAACUCGAGGCUUAACCUCGAGAUGUCGGCGGAAACCAUCUGGCUAGAGUCCGGAAGAGGAGAGUGGAAUUCCCGGUGUAGCGGUGAAAUGCGCAGAUAUCGGGAAGAACACCCGUGGCGAAGGCGGCUCUCUGGGACGGUACUGACGCUGAGACGCGAAAGCGUGGGGAGCAAACAGG
rnacentral:rRNA from 1 species